rnacentral:rRNA from 1 species
ACCGGCAAACCCUGAGGAAUCCACCGUGAAUAAGCUCCGGCUAAUUCCGUGCCAGCAGCCGCGGUUAUACGGAGGGUGCAAGCGUUGUCCGGAAUCAUUGGGUGUAAAGGGUACGUAGGCGGGAGCCUAAGUCUGGGGUGAAAUCUUGCCGCUUAACGGUAAAAUGGCCCUGGAUACUGGGUUUCUUGAGUGCAGAAGAGGCAGGUGGAAUUCGUGGUGUAGCGGUGAAAUGCUUAGAUAUCACGAAGAACAUCAGUGGCGAAGGCGGCCUGCUGGUCUGCAACUGACGCUGAGGUACGAAAGCGUGGGGAGCGAACAGGAUUAGAUACCCUGGUAGUCCACGCCGUAAACGAUGCAUACUAUGUGUUGGCCUUAGGGCCAGUGCUGCAGUUAACGCAUUAAGUAUGCCACCUGGGGAGUACGUCGGCAACGAUGAAACUCAAAGGAAUUGACGGGGGCCCACAC